UGUUUUAGUCUAGUUAGAGGAACCUGUGUUAUAAACGAUACAACACGCAUUAUUUUACUUGUUUUGGUAAACAGUUUGUAUACCGUCAUUAUAAGAUAAUUUAAGAGAGAAUAUUAUUAAGAUCAUAUUAUUGAGUAUAUUAGAUCAAGGUGCAGCUUAUAAACAAGUAAAUAUGGGUUACAAUAAAAUUUAUUUAAUACGGAUUAUAUAUUUAAAUGUAUUUAUGAAGGAGGAUUUAAUUGUAAGAGGGUAGUAGUAAGAUUUUCUGAUAAAAGCUCUAAAUUAU
rnacentral:rRNA from 1 species